AGAGAUGGAUCUCUUCCAGCAAUGGACCUGCACACAGGUGCUGCAUGGCUGUCGUCAGCUCGUGUCGUGAGAUGUUGGGUUAAGUCCCGCAACGAGCGCAACCCUCGCCUUUAGUUGCCAUCAUUCAGUUGGGCACUCUAAAGGGACUGCCGGUGAUAAGCCGCGAGGAAGGUGGGGAUGACGUCAAGUCAGCAUGGCCCUUACUCCGGGGCUACACACGUGCUACAAUGGCCGGUACAAAGGGUUGCGAAGCCGUGAGGUGGAGCGAAUCUCAAAAAGCCGGCCUCAGUUCGGAUUGGAGGCUGCAACUCGCCUCCAUGAAGUCGGAAUCGCUAGUAACCGCAGAUCAGCUACGUUGCGGUGAAUACGUUCCCGGGCCUU
rnacentral:rRNA from 1 species